GGGUUGUGAGGUUAAGCGACUAAGCGUACACGGUGGAUGCCCUGGCAGUCAGAGGCGAUGAAGGGCGUGCUAAUCUGCGAUAAGCGCCGGUAAGGUGAUAUGAACCGUUAUAACCGGCGAUACCCGAAUGGGGAAACCCAGUGUGACUCGUCACACUAUCAUUAACUGAAUCCAUAGGUUAAUGAGGCGAACCGGGGGAACUGAAACAUCUAAGUACCCCGAGGAAAAGAAAUCAACCGAGAUUCCCCCAGUAGCGGCGAGCGAACGGGGAGGAGCCCAGAGCCUGAAUCAGCAUGUGUGUUAGUGGAAGCGUCUGGAAAGGCGCGCGAUACAGGGUGACAGCCCCGUACACAAAAGCGCAUGUGCUGUGAGCUCGAUGAGUAGGGCGGGACACGUGGUAUCCUGUCUGAAUAUGGGGGGACCAUCCUCCAAGGCUAAAUACUCCUGACUGACCGAUAGUGAACCAGUACCGUGAGGGAAAGGCGAAAAGAACCCCGGCGAGGGGAGUGAAAAAGAACCUGAAACCGUGUACGUACAAGCAGUGGGAGCACAGGUUUACCUGUGUGACUGCGUACCUUUUGUAUAAUGGGUCAGCGACUUAUAUUCUGUAGCAAGGUUAACCGAAUAGGGGAGCCGCAGGGAAACCGAGUCUUAAUUGGGCGUUAAGUUGCAGGGUAUAGACCCGAAACCCGGUGAUCUAGCCAUGGGCAGGUUGAAGGUUGGGUAACACUAACUGGAGGACCGAACCGACUAAUGUUGAAAAAUUAGCGGAUGACCUGUGGCUGGGGGUGAAAGGCCAAUCAAACCGGGAGAUAGCUGGUUCUCCCCGAAAGCUAUUUAGGUAGCGCCUCGUGAAUUCAUCUCCGGGGGUAGAGCACUGUUUCGGCUAGGGGGCCAUCCCGGCUUACCAACCCGAUGCAAACUGCGAAUACCGGAGAAUGUUAUCACGGGAGACACACGGCGGGUGCUAACGUCCGUCGUGAAGAGGGAAACAACCCAGACCGCCAGCUAAGGUCCCAAAGUCAUGGUUAAGUGGGAAACGAUGUGGGAAGGCCCAGACAGCCAGGAUGUUGGCUUAGAAGCAGCCAUCAUUUAAAGAAAGCGUAAUAGCUCACUGGUCGAGUCGGCCUGCGCGGAAGAUGUAACGGGGCUAAACCAUGCACCGAAGCUGCGGCAGCGACACUGUGUGUUGUUGGGUAGGGGAGCGUUCUGUAAGCCUGCGAAGGUGGCCUGUGAGGGUUGCUGGAGGUAUCAGAAGUGCGAAUGCUGACAUAAGUAACGAUAAAGCGGGUGAAAAGCCCGCUCGCCGGAAGACCAAGGGUUCCUGUCCAACGUUAAUCGGGGCAGGGUGAGUCGACCCCUAAGGCGAGGCCGAAAGGCGUAGUCGAUGGGAAACGGGUUAAUAUUCCCGUACUUGGUGUUACUGCGAAGGGGGGACGGAGAAGGCUAUGUUGGCCGGGCGACGGUUGUCCCGGUUUAAGCGUGUAGGUGUGUGUUCCAGGUAAAUCCGGUUCACUUUAACACUGAGGCGUGAUGACGAGGCACUACGGUGCUGAAGCAACAAAUGCCCUGCUUCCAGGAAAAGCCUCUAAGCAUCAGGUAACAUCAAAUCGUACCCCAAACCGACACAGGUGGUCAGGUAGAGAAUACCAAGGCGCUUGAGAGAACUCGGGUGAAGGAACUAGGCAAAAUGGUGCCGUAACUUCGGGAGAAGGCACGCUGACAUGUAGGUGAAGUGAUUUACUCAUGGAGCUGAAGUCAGUCGAAGAUACCAGCUGGCUGCAACUGUUUAUUAAAAACACAGCACUGUGCAAACACGAAAGUGGACGUAUACGGUGUGACGCCUGCCCGGUGCCGGAAGGUUAAUUGAUGGGGUCAGCGCAAGCGAAGCUCCUGAUCGAAGCCCCGGUAAACGGCGGCCGUAACUAUAACGGUCCUAAGGUAGCGAAAUUCCUUGUCGGGUAAGUUCCGACCUGCACGAAUGGCGUAAUGAUGGCCAGGCUGUCUCCACCCGAGACUCAGUGAAAUUGAACUCGCUGUGAAGAUGCAGUGUACCCGCGGCAAGACGGAAAGACCCGUGAACCUUUACUAUAGCUUGACACUGAACAUUGAGCCUUGAUGUGUAGGAUAGGUGGGAGGCUUUGAAGUGUGGACGCCAGUCUGCAUGGAGCCGACCUUGAAAUACCACCCUUUAAUGUUUGAUGUUCUAACGUGGACCCGUGAUCCGGGUUGCGGACAGUGUCUGGUGGGUAGUUUGACUGGGGCGGUCUCCUCCUAAAGAGUAACGGAGGAGCACGAAGGUUGGCUAAUCCUGGUCGGACAUCAGGAGGUUAGUGCAAUGGCAUAAGCCAGCUUGACUGCGAGCGUGACGGCGCGAGCAGGUGCGAAAGCAGGUCAUAGUGAUCCGGUGGUUCUGAAUGGAAGGGCCAUCGCUCAACGGAUAAAAGGUACUCCGGGGAUAACAGGCUGAUACCGCCCAAGAGUUCAUAUCGACGGCGGUGUUUGGCACCUCGAUGUCGGCUCAUCACAUCCUGGGGCUGAAGUAGGUCCCAAGGGUAUGGCUGUUCGCCAUUUAAAGUGGUACGCGAGCUGGGUUUAGAACGUCGUGAGACAGUUCGGUCCCUAUCUGCCGUGGGCGCUGGAGAACUGAGGGGGGCUGCUCCUAGUACGAGAGGACCGGAGUGGACGCAUCACUGGUGUUCGGGUUGUCAUGCCAAUGGCACUGCCCGGUAGCUAAAUGCGGAAGAGAUAAGUGCUGAAAGCAUCUAAGCACGAAACUUGCCCCGAGAUGAGUUCUCCCUGAGACUUAGAGUCUCCUGAAGGAACGUUGAAGACGACGACGUUGAUAGGCCGGGUGUGUAAGCGCAGCGAUGCGUUGAGCUAACCGGUACUAAUGAACCGUGAGGCUUAACCUUACAACGCCGAAG
rnacentral:rRNA from 1 species